rnacentral:piRNA from 1 species
UGAUGAUAUAUACCUUUGAACUUAUGCCAC